rnacentral:lncRNA from 1 species
UCCAUUGACUAUACUUUGAAUUAUGGGUUGGCAAUAACUCCAGAGCGUCUUUGUCUUCCACAAGAUUGCGUGUAACUAUGUCUAUAGUUUUGUCGAUUUCUGGUUUAUAGCUUUUAAAUGUUGUAGUUUCAUUAAUGAAGACUGAUCUUGCUUGUAGAUCAGAAAAAUCUGAAGCUGAUUGUAGUUCUACCAAGACCUCUCUGAAAUAGUCCUGUCUAGAAAGGUUGAUAGGCACAGGACAAAAUGCUAGAGCACGAUCGUUGUUUUUGGUUGUCGUUUGGCUCCUGGUGGUCAGCAGUUGUUUCGUCUCUUGAUAUAGGCUGUCCUGAUUUUGUCUGUUUAA